rnacentral:misc_RNA from 1 species
GAUGAAGAACGUAGCGAAAUGCGAUAAGUAGUGUGAAUUGCAGAAUUCAGUGAAUCAUCGAAUCUUUGAACGCACAUUGCGCCCCUUGGUAUUCCAUGGGGCAUGCCUGUUCGAGCGUCAUUUGUACCUUCAAGCUUUGCUUGGUGUUGGGUGUUUGUCUCGCCUUUGCGUGUAGACUCGCCUUAAAGUAAUUGGCAGCCGGCCUACUGGUUUCGGAGCGCAGCACAAGUCGCACUCUCUAUCAGCAAAGGUCUAGCAUCCAUUAAGCCUUUUUUUCAACUUUUGACCUCGGAUCAGGUAGGGAUACCCGCUGAACUUAAGCAUAUCAAUAAGCGGAGGA